CCUAUUUAAUGUAGACGGAGAUUACAUAAGAACAUGAAUACCAGAAAACAGGGAGUAUUGAGGGUCAUCUUGGAGGUUGACCACCAUGGAAUGUAACUAAGGAAGGAUCCAGAAUGUAUGGAGGACUGCACAAAUCUAUGGAAAGCAUUCAUGACCUCCUACCACCUCCCUCUAGCUCACCAAAGAAGACUGGCCAGAAGGCAGACUUUGUGCCAUCAGUCAUCCAGAGCAAUCCAGGCCUUCAGUUAUAUACACUCCCCAAGGAAAGACGUGUAUGGAAAUAUCAUUGUUUCUUUAGGGGGCCUGACAUCCUCUGCUUGGGACCCCAGAUGCUAGUUCCUGCUUGUCAAUACAAUUCUCAUAUUGUUCCUGCCAUAAAUGAACAUAAGAGCUGAGGAAGCUCAGAGUCCAAGAAGGAAUGACUCCAUGACCUGAGGAAGAUGGCCAGGGAAUGGAACACCCAUGAUGUCCUUGAAAUCCUCUACCUGCCCUAAAUAGGACUCUUCCCAAUGUCUUAUAUCUACUGCCAUAAGUAAUCACAGCAACGCAACCAUCUCAGCAUGAACAUCCCCACGUACAGAUGAGAACCCCAGCUGACAGCAGUCAGCCAACUUGCCUAAGGGAAGAUGAAGACAGCUCUUUCCAGGCCAAGUCCACAUGACUUUCCCCUUACACAUGUUUACCCACAGAACAGGGACAUCAGACCAGUCUAGCUUCAUCAAUCCCAGGUGAAUAUGAGGCCAAAAAAAUUUUUUUAUGAGAUUAUGAGCUCCCUUUGUUUCCCCUGGUAGGAGGAGGAACAGAGGGUUCCUCUCAAGUUCAAAUUCCCCUACAUCAUUGCAUGUUCUAGACAGAAAUAAUCCAACCUUUCUGGUGAAGGUAGAAAACGGACUAGCCCACAAGCAUCUCUUCUGGCCUUAUUCACCCCUACAAGCCUGCUAGCUUAUAGAGCACAAGAACCAAAUCAAUAGAGCCAAUAUGUCACUGCCAGCAGGGCACGAGUGGCUACCAGCCUUGGGGAACAUGACGUGCUACUAAGCUGAACUAAUCACUCCUUGGCAUUUCAGGAGCAGUUGGGUUAGCAGACCACAGCACAUGCAUAAUGAAAGACAAUAAUUCCUCCAGAAGGGGAGAGUAAGAACAACAUAAUGAAUUGGCCCUUAGAAGAGGGCAGUUACUAUUUACACAGGUCAACCUAAAGCCAUAUCAGUGAUUUUUAGAGGCCAAAAAUCUGUUUUAGAAAGAAAAACCCGGAGGAUUUGGCAGAGAGGAGAUUGGGCUGCAUCCUUCAUUUCAGCAAAAGGAUUGAAUCUGGGGGAUGGACCCUCCAUCAGCAGUGUCACCCAUGAAGAAUUUAACAUGAUAAACUGAAGAAGGCAGAGAGGUCAAUUAAAGACCUAAUCAUGCUCCCUCUAGCCAAAGAAGUAUGAACUUUUACGAGAGAUGAUUUAUUAACCUGCGUACAUAUGAAUCACCCAGAAAUAUUGUUAAAAUAUACAUUCUUGGGUCUCAGCUUGAGAUUCUCAUUCAGCAGCCCUUCAGAGAAGAACAAAAAAAAAUCCAUUUUUAACUAGGUUUCCAGGUGAUUCAGAGGCAGGGAGUUCAUUAAAACAGAACAACCAUUGGAGAAAUGCUGCCCCAGACCUCUACAACAAAUCAGAAUCUCCCAUUUUCCAAGCACCCUUCAUCCCCAGGGUGUGCAAAGAAGGUAGAAGGAACUCAAAGUGUUCUCCAAGAGACCAAGGCUGGGGUUAUCAUGGCUCUGAUCUUUGUGUAACCCUCUCAGAUAUCUUCCCUACCCGAUGUCUGAUUUCAGAGGUGGCAUCCUUUCCACUCACCCCCCUCAGAUAUGCCAGGAAUCUUGAACACUAAGCAAAGAAGUCAAAGGCAGGGGGCUGGGACCCAGAAAACCAGCCCACUAGUUCUCUUGCAAUUGGUCACAUUCACCAAGGCCUCUCUCUCUCUCUGCCCACCCUCAUCAAACACAGCACCAACAGAGAGAAACAUGAGAAGAAUGAUUUCUUUUUCAAGUGGUCCUAAUGCUGCAGGAUGAAUCAGGGGUAAGCAGAAUAUUUGCAUGGUGGGGGGCGGGGGGGAAGGGUAAGAAUCACUGAUCACCUAGUUCCUGGGAAAGAGUGAGGAUUAAUCUGAAAGGUUUACAUCCUGGUCAAAAUCCAGAAAUGAUUGGAUCUGCAGAAAGAACUGGAGAGAGAUCCACUAAGUGCCUUGUACCUCACCAACUUCGGGAACCCCCAGCACAUAAAGUAGUGGGGUGCCAGGUGGGGAAACUUCACUCGCCCAAACACCUUCCCUGUGGCUGAGAGCAAGGGCAUGUCCCUACGGAGCUGCGGUGCUGUGACUUGCAUCCAUGGCGAAGCCUGUUGUGUAGACGCACACGCACCCUCUUACCUCUGCUCUUCAAGAGGAACCACUCACAGGCUGCCCGCGCAGACAGCGUUGGGGACCUGCUCUGUCUGGCUCUUAGAGCUGCCUCUUGUCUCCGCACACAGCUCUGUCGAGGUUCUUGGUCCAUUCCAGAGUCGAACAGUCACCCUCCACUACUGCCCCAACCGUCACCCCCAUUCCCAGGUCGAGAUGAUUCUGAAAGCUCAGCCUCCCUCCUUGACUGGAUCUCAAACGGAGAGAUGGCGAAGAACGUAAAUUCAGAACCAAGGACAGCGGCACAACCGGUGGUGGGAGAGGAGGGGCAGCACCGGCCUUGGCUUCUGUCCUUAGAAACUGAAAAGUCUCAGGUCGCGCAAAUCCAGACUUGCCAAGAAUACCCUUCUCUCUCCCUGGAGGUCAGAAUCUCUGGCCGCGCGCCCUGGGGUCCCGGACUUGGGUGCGGGGCAGAAAGUGCCGUCCCGAGAUCGUCGGGAGCCAGCCGCCCUGCGAAGCUCCGGCUCGACAAGGGUGGCUCACCGCACUCCGCGGGAGGCUGCCCC